CGCGGCCUUUUAACCAUUGCUAUUUCGAUUUGAUCAAUCGAUGGCAUUUUGGUUAGAUUGACGCGUUGGCGUGUGAGUGGCAUAUUAAAUGUGUGCGUUGGCUGGCUCCCUGCUUGGUCAGUGAAUUGUCGGCGCAUUCAUAUUUCAGUUGAGACGAAGUUUUGCUUGUUGGAUUUUUGUGUUGCCAACCUGAUUGGUGGAAUUGUAAUGUCCUUGAUGCGCUGCUUUGCCGAAUACCCUUGUGGUGCUAGGCGGACGUUGAAGCUGCCCCUUUCUAUGCCAUGCUCUUCCUUUUUAGGGAACCAUGGAAAAUUGGUGUUGCUUGUUGCCUCGGAUGCAGAGCAUGAAGCGAGCAUGUUGCCUGUCCUCAUUGCUCAUCAGAGCUCUUGAUUGCUUCGAAAGAGAGAUUGCUGCGCUUGGUUUUGGUUGUCGACUUGUCGACCAACUCUUAACUUUGCCGGCAUCUUCAAAGAUUGCUACCUGGUUGAUCCUGCCAGUAGUCAUAUGCUUGUCUCAAAGAUUAAGCCAUGC
rnacentral:misc_RNA from 1 species